GACGAACGCUGGCGGCGUGCUUAACACAUGCAAGUCGCACGACGUGGCGAACGGGUGAGUAACGCGUAAUCAACCUGCCCUUCAGAGGGGGACAACAGUUGGAAACGACGGCUAAUACCGCAUACUGAAGGAGGGGAUUGAGUAUGAUUAGCUAGUUGGAGGGGUAACGGCCCACCAAGGCGAUGAUCAGUAGCCGGUCUGAGAGGAGGAACGGCCACAUUGGGACUGAGACCCGGCCCAGACUCCUACGGGAGGCAGCAGUGGGGAAUCUUCCGCAAUGGACGAAAGUCUGACGGAGCAACGCCGCGUGAGUGAUGACGGCCUUCGGGUUGUAAAGCUCUGUUAAUCGGGACGCGGUACCGGAAUAGAAAGCCACGGCUAACUACGUGCCAGCAGCCGCGGUAAUAC
rnacentral:rRNA from 1 species